rnacentral:tRNA from 1 species
GGUCCGGUGGCAGAGUGGCUAUGCAGCGGAUUGCAAAUCCGUGUACGGGGGUUCGAUUCCCUCCCGGACCUCCA